rnacentral:rRNA from 1 species
UGCGUAGACGGGAAAUUAAGUUAGUUGUGAAAUCCCUCGGCUUAACUGAGGAACUGCAACUAAAACUGGUUUUCUUGAGUGUUGGAGAGGAAAGUGGAAUUCCUAGUGUAGCGGUGAAAUGCGUAGAUAUUAGGAGGAACACCAGUGGCGAAGGCGAUUUUCUGGACAAUAACUGACGUUGAGGCACGAAAGUGUGGGGAGCAAACA